rnacentral:rRNA from 1 species
GAAUCUUAGACAAUGGGCGCAAGCCUGAUCUAGCCAUGCCGCGUGUGUGAUGAAGGCCCUAGGGUCGUAAAGCACUUUCGCCAGGGAUGAUAAUGACAGUACCUGGUAAAGAAACCCCGGCUAACUCCGUGCCAGCAGCCGCGGUAAUACGGAGGGGGUUAGCGUUGUUCGGAAUUACUGGGCGUAAAGCGUACGUAGGCGGAUCAGAAAGUUGGGGGUGAAAUCCCAGGGCUCAACCCUGGAACUGCCUCCAAAACUCCUGGUCUUGAGUUCGAGAGAGGUGAGUGGAAUUCCAAGUGUAGAGGUGAAAUUCGUAGAUAUUUGGAGGAACACCAGUGGCGAAGGCGGCUCACUGGCUCGAUACUGACGCUGAGGUACGAAAGUGUGGGGAGCAAACAGG